GACUGCUCAAUUGUUAGAGCGUCUGCCUUGAAUGCGGGAGGUCGCAGGUUCGAACUCCGGCUGAGUCA